AGUGAACGCUGGCGGUAGGCCUAACACAUGCAAGUCGAACGGCAGCACAGUAAGAGCUUGCUCUUACGGGUGGCGAGUGGCGGACGGGUGAGGAAUACAUCGGAAUCUACUUUUUCGUGGGGGAUAACGUAGGGAAACUUACGCUAAUACCGCAUACGACCUACGGGUGAAAGCAGGGGAUCUUCGGACCUUGCGCGAUUGAAUGAGCCGAUGUCGGAUUAGCUAGUUGGCGGGGUAAAGGCCCACCAAGGCGACGAUCCGUAGCUGGUCUGAGAGGAUGAUCAGCAACACUGGAACUGAGACACGGUCCAGACUCCUAAGGGAGGCAGCAGUGGGGAAUAUGGGACAAUGGGCGCAAGCAUGAUCCAGCCAUACCGCGUGGGUGAAGAAGGCCUUCGGGUUGUAAAGCCCUUUUGUUGGGAAAGAAAAGCAGCAGGUUAAUACCCCGCUGUUCUGACGGUACCCAAAGAAUAAGCACCGGCUAACUUCGUG
rnacentral:rRNA from 1 species